GCACAAUGGGCGCAAGCCUGAUGCAGCCAUGCCGCGUGUAUGAAGAAGGCCUUCGGGUUGUAAAAGUACUUUCAGCAGUGAGGAAGGUGGGUAUGUUAAUAGCAUACUCAUUUGACGUUAGCUGCAGAAGAAGCACCGGCUAACUCCGUGCCAGCAGCCGCGGAAUACGGAGGGUGCGAGCGUUAAUCGGAAUUACUGGGCGUAAAAGCGCAUGCAGGUGGUUUGUUAAGUCAGAUGUGAAAGCCCGGGGCUCAACCUCGGAAUUGCAUUUGAAACUGGCAAACUAGAGUACUGUAGAGGGGGUAGAAUUUCAGGUGUAGCGGUGAAAUGCGUAGAGAUCUGAAGGAAUACCGGUGGCGAAGGCGGCCCCCUGGACAGAUACUGACACUCAGAUGCGAAAGCGUGGGGAGCAAACAGGAUUAGAUACCCUGGUAG
rnacentral:rRNA from 1 species